UUGCUGUAAUGGCCUUUGGCGGAAGUGUUAGCGACGUUUUCGUAACUUUCUAGUCUCUUUUAUUUACAACUUGUAGGUGCCCAGUUCGAUUUUCGCGGUAGGAAUCUAGGUUCUAUGAGUAAUCUAGAUAUCUAAUUCCGGCAAUGAGUAGUGCCACCACUGAAGGGGAGCAAUCCAGCACAGUACACUACCCGUGGGAAGGCGGUCUGGAUUACACCUCGUUGGCUUCUCUUAUUAUUAGGGAAAAAAUAAAAGAGCUAAGAUGUGUGUUAGUACAACUGCUAUU
rnacentral:SRP_RNA from 1 species